rnacentral:rRNA from 1 species
GGCGUAAAGAGCUCGUAGGCGGUUUGUCGCGUCUGCUGUGAAAAUCCAAGGCUCAACCUUGGACCUGCAGUGGGUACGGGCAGACUAGAGUGCGGUAGGGGAGAUGGGAAUUCCUGGUGUAGCGGUGGAAUGCGCAGAUAUCAGGAGGAACACCAAUGGCGAAGGCACAUCUCUGGGCCGUAACUGACGCUGAGGAGCGAAAGCGUGGGGAGCAAACAGGAUUAGAUGCCCUGGUAGUCCACGCCGUAAACGGUGGGUGCUAGUUGUGGGCCACAUUCCACGUGGUCCGUGACGAAGUUAACACAUUAAGCACCCCGCCUGGGGAGUACGGUCGCAAGACUAAAACUCAAAGGAAUUGACGGGGGCCCGCACAAGCGGCGGAGCAUGCGGAUUAAUUCGAUGCAACGCGAAGAACCUUACCAAGGCUUGACAUAUAGAGGAAACGUGCAGAAAUGUACGCCCCGCAAGGUCUCUAUACAGGUGGUGCAUGGUUGUCGUCAGCUCGUGUCGUGAGAUGUUGGGUUAAGUCCCGCAACGAGCGCAACCCUCGUCCUAUGUUGCCAGCACGUAAUGGUGGGAACUCAUGGGAGACUGCCGGGGUCAACUCGGAGGAAGGU